rfam:Kordia algicida OT-1 1103813601120 genomic scaffold, whole genome shotgun sequence.
UAUAUUUGCGGCUUGAUACGAGAAACGUAUUAAUACAUAAAAAUUAUUAAAACAAUAUUGGCAUG